UAGUUGAGCUGUGGGAUGGCACCUUAGAAUGAGUCCUUCAGGACAACACAAAUCGAAUACUAUCAUCAAUGACAAGUUUUCAAUUCGCCAGUGGCUGCCGUGUGGCCAUGAUAAGGAACAAUUAAGAUGUAAAAAUCCUAAACGGGGAUGAAGCAAACUAACAAGAUGGUCAUCUGGCCAUAGUGCAUUUAUAAGUAAUAGCAAGAGACUGGAACAUGUAACGAUGCCAUGUGCAUUGACUGUAAUAUUAUUAUUAUCGCCGCAUGCAAAGGGAUCUGGGCGACGAUAGGAAACACGUAAACUAGCAUAAGUAAAUUGUAUGUUAGUUAAGGUUUUAAUGCUAAGGACCUAAACUAAAGUUAAAACGGCACUAGAGCAUAAAGAAGUAACGAAUAAGGGUAGAGACAGGCUUGAUGAUGGUAGAGCAAAGGAAGAGAGGCGAAAAUGUUUACAGUGGAAAUUGCUGAGUCUUGAGGAGUAUAUCUCUCCUACACGAUGGGUCAGCAGGUUAUCCUGUCUACUACCGUCCGUGGCAGUCUCAGGAUAGAGGAGAGGGACAGAAGGGAGCAGGGUGUUAUAGAAGUAACAUCAUGGGCUGAGCUUGCUUCAGGCAGUUAUACACACGCACACACGCACUCCAUAUUAGCGCUCACAGGACCCGCAACACCAGAGCAGAUGAGUGAUGCUUACCUGGAGCCUGGUUGUUCACAUACUGCCCCACAUUAAGAGGGUUGAUGGGCCAGUCAGUGAGCCAGGUAAGGUCUGCAGCUUCCUCAAGUCCCAUUCGGUCUCUGCCGCAGCAGGACCUGAAAACCACCAAGCAUCACCACCUUUACCAAUUGUGACACAUAUAUGUAUGGUCAUAAUAAACCAUAGAUAUUCAGAGAAUAAAUGCCCAGAAAAACAUUACAACUUUACAAGGAUUUAUAAAAACAGAUUGUAUAUUUAGAGCAAGUAUAGAAAAAAAGUAAUAUCAACUCAGAGAGAGACAUGAUGUUGCAUAGGUGUAGAUGCAUGCAUGAUACUUGGAGGAUUUUCAUGGUAUGCUAACCAUUCACCUGAAUAUGGUACCAGAAAGGCCCCUGCGGCACCCAUCCACAAGCACUCCGUCAGCACACCGCAGGAUAAAAGGAUUAGCCAGGCUAGGCAGGAGCACUGGCUGAUGUGGCAGAUAGAGGCCACCAGGAUACAAGGCCACCAGCUGCCCCCGACUGGCACCCUUAUGGCCCUUCAGCACCACACCACUGCCAAGCCCUGCGAUGUCACUUGGAGCCACGUGAACCGAAUAACCAAACAGCGACUCCAUCACCUGCCGAUGUAAUGGGCACGGUGACUGCAGCCUUGGACCAUGUGAGGGGGUGGGCGUGGGGGCAAGGGUGGACACACUUGCUGCAGGCCGGUGAUGAGUCUGAAGAGCUGCUCCACCACCUCCUCCUCCCCCACCACCUUAUCCCCCUCAUCGCCUUCCUCCUUCACCACACGCACUGUCCUGCAGAGUGAGUAAGGCCUCGGAACCGGACCCACUGCCUACCUGCCUGCUCCGGUCCCGCUAGCUCUAUCAUUACACAACAGUUUUCUUUCUGGAACAUGUCUUUUAAAUUUUACCUUUGAUGGACUUCUCACCGAUCUUCUCAGUAUAAAAAAUGGAUGGAACUGUAAAGGUAACAAACACCGAGCCAGCAACUGUGUGUUCUUAAGGCAGUAAGACCUUAAGAACAGGGAAAUGAGGGAAGCUACAAGAGGCCAUCCCUGUAUACAAUACGAGUAAUAGAAUAUACACCUCUUUCCACCAAAGAUUCCCAUCUAAUUAUUUCUGUAAUUUUCCUUUCAAAACUCCCUAAUGACUCGGUACGUACUACAUCAUUAUUAACCUCUUCAGUACCAUGACGCGUUUCC